GUGUUCAUAGAAAGGAGAUAUGGUUGGCAUCUCCCUUGACAAAGAUGGGAACAGUAUUCGGACUUUCUUAUCACAUGUGGUUAAGGCUCUCCACCUCCACUGGGUGGAUAUGACCUAUUAUUUAU
rnacentral:ncRNA from 1 species